GACGAACGCUGGCGGCGUGCUUAACACAUGCAAGUCGAACGGAAAGGCCCUGCUUUUGUGGGGUGCUCGAGUGGCGAACGGGUGAGUAACACGUGAGUAACCUGCCCUUGACUUUGGGAUAACUUCAGGAAACUGGGGCUAAUACCGGAUAGGAUCUCCUGCUGCAUGGUGGGGGUUGGAAAGUUUCGGCGGUUGGGGAUGGACUCGCGGCUUAUCAGCUUGUUGGUGGGGUAGUGGCUUACCAAGGCUUUGACGGGUAGCCGGCCUGAGAGGGUGACCGGCCACAUUGGGACUGAGAUACGGACCAGAAUCCUACGGGAGGCAGCAGUGGGGAAUAUUGCACAAUGGGCGGAAGCCUGAUGCAGAAACGCCGCGUGCGGGAUGACGGCCUUCGGGUUGUAAACAGCUUUCGCCUGUGACGAAGCGUGAGUGACGGUAAUGGGUAAAGAAGCACCGGCUAACUACGUG
rnacentral:rRNA from 1 species